rnacentral:lncRNA from 1 species
AGAAGUUUGCAGGAAAAAAAUUUUAAAAACACAUUUGAUGAAUGCAAAGGAGACCUAAAAGGAGGAUUCAGUAGGCUGAGGAGGCCUCGUUGAACAAAGCAGAACACCACGGGUCUCUGAAGAUGCAGUUAUAAGAAAGCAGACAUCUAGCCCCAAACCAUGGACUUGCCCAAUGAAAGAUGGAGAGGGAAAAUAUAGUCAACAAUAAAGGACUUAAAGCACAAGAAAGA